rnacentral:rRNA from 1 species
UACGGAGGGGGCGAGCGUUAUUCGGAAUUAUUGGGCGUAAAGGGCGCGUAGGCGGCCCGGUAAGUCAAAGGUGAAAUCCCUCGGCUCAACUGAGGAACUGCCUUUGAAACUGUCGGGCUUGAGGCCGGGAGGGGGUAGCGGAAUUCCCAGUGUAGCGGUGAAAUUCGUAGAUAUUAGGAAGAACACCAGUGGCGAAGGCGGCUCACUGGCCCGGUACUGACGCUGAGGCGCGAAAGCGUGGGGAGCAAACAGG